rnacentral:rRNA from 1 species
AUGAACGCUAGCGGCAGGCCUAAUACAUGCAAGUCGAGCGGCAAGUCGAGGAGUAAUCUAAGACCUAGAGCGGCGCACGGGUGCGUAACGCGUAUGCAACCUACCUUAUACUGGGGGAUAGCCCGGAGAAAUCUGGAUUAAUACCCCAUGGCACAUAUUGAUGGCAUCUGAGAUAUGUUAAAGAUUUAUUGGUAUAAGAUGGGCAUGCGUCUGAUUAGCUAGUUGGCGGUGUAACGGACCACCAAGGCGACGAUCCAUAGCUGGUCUGAGAGGAUGAUCAGCCACACUGGGACUGAGACACGGCCCAGACUCCUACGGGAGGCAGCAGUGGGGAAUAUUGGACAAUGGGCGAAAGCCUGAUCCAGCAAUGCCGCGUGAGUGAUGAAGGCCUUAGGGUUGUAAAGCUCUUUUACCCGAGAUGAUAAUGACAGUAUCGGGAGAAUAAGCUCCGGCUAACUCCGUG